AUAUAGAUGUGGUAUAUAUGAUAUGUGUGUAUAUAAUAUAUAAUAUAUGAGAGAGGAGUUAUGCCAAUGCGGUUGAACGUUCUGAGAGUGACAAUUUCUCCUCCAUAGCAGUUGUUAAGUGAUAAUUAAUCCUUCUGUGUUGUUCUGUUUCUGUUCUUCAACCUAUGAGAAUUCCAGUGACACUAAAACAUUAAAGACUUGGAUACCCAUUAUCCCGAAUGCUAAUCAAUAAAACGUCUUGAAUUCACUGCUCUGUUUUGCUUGUUUACAGCGGUCAUUUCAUAGAAGGAAUCCAGUUUGUCAAAUUUACAUCAGAUUUGACUUUUAGUAGCAGGUUAGGAGUUCGGUUAAGGUUUGGAAAAGGUUUAGCUAAAACACAAAAUAUAAAAACUUUUGAUGUUAAUUUGACAAAAGCUGGAAACCCUUCUAGCCUUGACCCUGUCUCCUGUCAGAGUUGCUCUCGUGUUAUUACGUCACCAACAUUUCGAGAAUUAAGUUCUAUAUGGGUGCGUACAUGGUGGCCUGGCCUAACUCUGAGUAUACAAAACAUUAAGAACACCAGCACUUUCCAUGACAGACCAACCAGGUAAAAGCUAUGAUCCCGUAUUGAUGUCACUUAUUAAUUCCCCUUCAAAUCAGUGUAGACGAAAGGGAGGAAACAGGUUAAAGAAGGAUUUUUAAGCCUUGAGACAUGGAUUGUGUAUGUUUGCCAUUCAGAGGGUGAAUGGGUAAGGCAACAAAAAUGUAAGUUCUUUUGAACAGGGUAUGAUAGUAGGUUCCAGCUGCAUCAGUUUGUGUCAAGAACUGCAACGCUGCUGGGUUUUUUAUGUGCAGCAGUUGCAUCAAGAAUGAUCCAUCACUCAAAAUCCCUGUGGGAAGCAUUGGAAUCAACAGCAUCCCUGUGGGACGCUUUUGAUAACUGGUGGAGUCCCUGACGAAUUGAGGCUGUUCUGAGGGCAACUCAAUACCAGAAAUGUGUUUUUAAAAAGGAAUGGUAUUCUCAGUGUAUAUGGCUCUGGAUUGGCCUAUCACUCCAAUCAGUAGUGCUGAAAAAUACGUGGUACUAUUUCAAGCGUCUCAUCUUUCUCAAUUAAUGCCAAGAGAAAUGACAGAUACAGGAUGUCCUUACUGUUUCUGCCAAUAAAUCUGGUGGGAGUCUUCCAAUGUUUUCCACAGUUUUGUCAACGCCUAAAAACCACAGAAAUGGAUUAGUAAGUAGAAAAAUAAAGAAAAUGGCUAGCCCAUUAGCUACUUAGCCAAGUCAGUGAACUACCGUUACCUAGCUAUUGGGUAUCUUCCCAUUUAUUCAUUAGUUGGAUCCUUCACAUAUACAUACAUAUUAUUUACUAUUUGCAUUUAUUAUUUUGUUGGAUUCGAUUAUUUAUGCACAUCGCAAAGUCAGUUAACACUGUUUCCUAUGGAAAGUAUUCAUAUCAACUACAAAAAUAGUAACGUUAGCAGUUGACAACAGAUAAACGGGGAAACCUUUGGCUUGCUAUUAGCUAACCGUUAGCUAGCUAUGUUACCGUUUCAUAUUAUGUUGAAAUACUGCACCCACUAGGCGAUGAAUCCAACCCCGGCAUCUCUGAUCGCAAGCAGGGGUGGAAAACAGAGGUUCAGGGUAGAUAGGCAACAAAGAGGUCACCACAGUAAAAUCACAGAUAGAACAAUGCAACCGGAUGUGUAAAUGUG
ensembl:lncRNA